rnacentral:rRNA from 1 species
AGCCAUGCGAGUCAUUGUAGCAAUACAAGGCAGACGGCUCAGUAACGCGUAGUCAAUCUACCCUAUGGACGGGAAUAACCUCGGGAAACUGAGAAUAAUGCCCGAUAGAACAUUAUGCCUGGAAUGGUUUAUGUUUCAAAUGAUUUAUCGCCAUAGGAUGGGACUGCGGCCUAUCAGUUUGUUGGUGAGGUAAUGGCCCACCAAGACUAUUACAGGUACGGGCUCUGAGAGGAGUGGCCCGGAGAUGGGUACUGAGACACGGACCCAGGCCCUAUGGGGCGCAGCAGGCGAGAAAACUUUGCAAUGUACGAAAGCACGACAAGGUUAAUCCGAGUGGUUUCUGCUAAAGAAACCUUUUGUCAGUCCUAGAAACACUAACGAAUAAGGGGUGGGCAAGUUCUGGUGUCAGCCGCCGCGGUAAAACCAGCACCUCAAGUGGUCAGGAUGAUUAUUGGGCCUAAAGCAUCCGUAGCUCGUUUUGUAAGUUUUCGGUUAAAUCCAUACGCUUAACGUAUGGGCUGCCGGGAAUACUGCAUAACUAGGAAGUGGGAGAGGUAGACGGUACUCGGUAGGAAGGGGUAAAAUCCUUUGAUCUAUUGAUGACCACCUGUGGCGAAGGCGGUCUACCAGAACACGUUCGACGGUGAGGGAUGAAAGCUGGGGGAGCAAACCGGAUUAGAUACCCGGGUAGUCCCAGCUGUAAACUAUGCAAACUCAGUGAUGCAUUGGCUUGUGGCCAAUGCAGUGCUGCAGGGAGGCCGUUAAGUUUGCUGCCUGGGAAGCACGUACGCAAGUAUGAAACUUAAAGGAAUUGGCGGGGGAGCAUCACAA